rfam:Nitrosomonas sp. Is79A3, complete genome.
CCCACCGUAAGUUGAUCACGGCUAACGAGGCGUAGAACGAAGCUGUGAGGCGAUGAACCAGAACCCGGAUAGAAGGUACAACCAAGCAGGGUGAACGGGCAUAAAGCUGUGAAGCUCUCGUUGAUCAAGGCGAAAUGUCGUAAAUCCGGCAGGUUUGUGUAUUGAAAGAGUGUGCU